GUUUCAGGGCGGGGUGAGAUUCCCCACUGGCGGUAAAGUCCGCGACCACUCAUUUACGAUGGGUGCUGACCCGGUGCAACUCCGGGACCAACGGUAUAGUCCGGAUGUAAGAAA
rnacentral:ncRNA from 1 species